AUUUUCAUCUACUUGGAUAAUCAUGUUUGUACAUUUUUUUUUAAUAUCAGAUGUAUACUAGCUAAUAUUGACUAUUAUUUAGAGCUCUGUAAUAAAAAAAAAAAUCAAUGUAAGCAGAGCUCUAGAUAAUAAGUAUGCAGGGUGGGAGAAAUCUUGGGUCAUUAACAAUUGAUUUGCUGAAAUUUUCAAGAAAGGGGAUUUAUUGGAAAAACAUCUGAUAUAUUUAAUGUAUAAAACUAUAUUUAAAAAGAAAAGAUGUUAAGAUGAUGAGGAGAGCCACCUUGUCAGCCGGGAGAGCAGCUCUAAGGGAGAUGGUCCAAUUUAAUCUUCACCAAGUCUGAGGCUUUACCAUGAAAAAGAUGUGGUUGUUAAUUUAUAAUGAUGAUGUUUUCAUGGUGUUGGGAGUAAGACUUGGAUGUCUGAUAUUGUUAACAUGUUGGUUAGCAUCAGGUUUCCAUUGGGUUACUUGCUGGGAUAAAGCUGUUAUAAGUCGAAAGAGUUGCUGUUGCUGCCUUCCUUAUAUGGUAAAAUCCUCAGACUACAAUCCUGCAAAACAUUGGAUGAACUGUUGCUAUCUUUUGUAAAAAAAUCAGCAGAUAUUUGUCUUAUAAG